GCAGCAGGCCCGUCUCCAGGCAGGUCAGGAACUGGAGCAGGUGUCCUCCCCGGGGGAACCGCAGUGGAGGCCUCUGGAUCCCAUCCUGACUCACCAGAACCACUGUCCCACCACUGUCCACUGGGAAAAAAACAUGAUCACAAGUAUCAUCUGCCACAGUGCCAUUCAUGAGCUGGUUGGGCGUCCAUUUCAGGGUCAUGAGAUCUGCAGUCUGGUGGAGAGACAGAUCUGUCUGGCCACAUCCUGGCAAUAGAAGCUAUAAGAAGAGGUCCAUUAAUACCUAACAGAGAGGCAAGGAUUGGUCCAUCCACAGCAUCCAUUAGAAUGGCCUCCCUGUCAUAGAAAGUACUGGAAGACAG